rnacentral:rRNA from 1 species
UACGAAGGGGGCUAGCGUUGCUCGGAAUCACUGGGCGUAAAGCGCACGUAGGCGGCUUUUUAAGUCAGGGGUGAAAUCCUGGAGCUCAACUCCAGAACUGCCUUUGAUACUGAGAAGCUUGAGUUCGGGAGAGGUGAGUGGAACUGCGAGUGUAGAGGUGAAAUUCGUAGAUAUUCGCAAGAACACCAGUGGCGAAGGCGGCUCACUGGCCCGAUACUGACACUGAGGUGCGAAAGCGUGGGGAGCAAACAGG